GCUCGGUUCUUCACUGAGUCGCGUGGAAACCUAGAAAAUCCAAGAAGAAGAGAGAGAGCCGUGUGACCGCUGAGAGAGAAGGAGCAGGAGGCUCCUGGACAGCGGACGUCGGUCGCUUCAGGGGUUCAGAGGAGUUUUCCAAGAGAGAGAGCCUUUGUGAGGGAGAAUUUCAGGAGAGAGAAAUUGAGUGUACAAAGGUUGGGGG
rnacentral:lncRNA from 1 species